rfam:Oryctes borbonicus contig8191, whole genome shotgun sequence.
AAAACGGUCCUUUUCGGGACCAAAAACCGAUCACGCAAAAUAUAA